UGUGUCUUCCAUGGAAAAGCAUUCUGAGUAAAGGCAUAAAAAUGAAUUACAAAAGGAUCCAGUUUAUUUAAAAGAUGCUUUUGCCUGGAGCUGGAUUAGAAGUGGAGCAGUGGGGACUCGAACCUCCACCUGUAUGAGAUGCAGGAGUCACAGAUGCAGACCCUGGAAUGCACGAGCUGGUGACUCAAGUGCCUGGGUUCC